rnacentral:lncRNA from 2 species
UAGCUAGUCACCUUCUUCUAUUGUUCCUCUUCCUGGGGAAGGAGCCAAGAUAUAUUUAGAAGGGGUCUAAAGUUUCUUAGUAAAGCUUCUAGGACAAAUCGAGAGCUUAUUGCAUUGCACGUAAUAUAUUUUUUUUUUUCCUUUCUGGCACAUAGCUAGACAAUUAUUCUCUGUGGGUCCUCAAGGACUCUUGCAGUUCCAAGAGCCUGUGAAACAGUCUCAGGCUUUAUGGCACCUUUGAAGAAACAAAAGCUUUACAGAGAAAAGGCUGGUUUGGCAGGGGAGGCUCGCGGCUCCCUUCAGCUCACUUUACUGUCUUCCUGGCGCUUUUCUUUUUAGACAAAAAAGCACUUAAAGGGGCUUUGUUGGAUCCACGACUCGGAGGUGCAAAUCUUCAACUGUUUCCUUUUGGAGGAUCAAAUUUACAGUUUUCUCCUGCCUGUUUCUUUAUGGUGAGACAUUUGAAAUCCACAGGCAGACUGAGCCAACUGGGCAGAAAGUUUGGAAUUCUGAAAUGCUGCCGAAUUGUCAGGGACCAGCCUAGCUAAUUUGCUGAUUUACUGAACUUGACCCAAAAGAAUUUCUGUGUACACAAAAAUUUAUGAAGAAGUCUUUGAAUAAUUGUAUUAAAUGAGAUUCUGGGCCUUUAUUUUCCAUUUUAUUACCUUUUCUGAACACUGUGGAUUCCAAUCAUAUUGAAACAUUUUGUGUUCAGGCUUUGUAGCAAGUGCUGAUGGUUGAACCUCAAAAGAAUUGAAGGGUUAGUUCAUAAAUGAAUAAAAAGCCAGCGGCAUUUAUCCA